rnacentral:rRNA from 1 species
ACUGAACGCUGGCGGCAGGCUUAACACAUGCAAGUCGAGCGGAGAUGAGGUGCUUGCACCUUAUCUUAGCGGCGGACGGGUGAGUAAUGCUUAGGAAUCUGCCUAUUAGUGGGGGACAACAUUCCGAAAGGAAUGCUAAUACCGCAUACGUCCUACGGGAGAAAGCAGGGGAUCUUCGGACCUUGCGCGAAUAGAUGAGCCUAAGUCGGAUUAGCCAGUUGGUGGGGUAAAGGCCUACCAAGGAGACGAUGUGUAGCGGGUCUGAGAGGAUGAUCCGCCACACUGGGACGGAGACACGGCCCAGACUCGGACGGGAGGCAGCAGGGGGGAAUAUUGGACAAUGGGGGGAACCCUGAGCCAGCCAUGCCGCGUGUGUGAAGAAGGCCUUAUGGUUGGAAAGCACUUUAAGCGAGGAGGAGGCUACUGAGACUAAUACUCUUGGAUAGUGGACGUUACUCGCAGAAUAAGCACCGGCUAACUCUGUGCCAGCCGCCGCGGUAACAC